rnacentral:rRNA from 2 species
GGAACCCCUCUUUAAAGUGGGAAUACUCGGGAAAACGGGGGUAAUAACCGGGAGCUGUUUUAACCCGAGUGUUAAAAAAAAAAGGGGGUUUGGGUCACCUUUAAAGAGGGCCCGGGGGCCUUUGGUUAUUGGGAGAGUACGGGUUCCACAAGGCAAAGGUGGGUUGCCCACCUGAGAAGUGAUUGGCCCCACGGGGAUGAGACACGGCCCAGAUUCUUACGGGAGGCAGCAGUAGGGAUUCUUCCGCAAUGGACGAAAGUCUGACGGAGCAACGCCGCGUGAGUGAUGAAGGUUUUCGGAUCGUAAAGCUCUGUUGUUAGGGAAGAACAAGUACCGUUCGAAUAGGGCGGUACCUUGACGGUACCUAACCAGAAAGCCACGGCUAACUACGUGCCAGCAGCCGCGGUAAUACGUAGGUGGCAAGCGUUGUCCGGAAUUAUUGGGCGUAAAGGGCUCGCAGGCGGUUCCUUAAGUCUGAUGUGAAAGCCCCCGGCUCAACCGGGGAGGGUCAUUGGAAACUGGGGAACUUGAGUGCAGAAGAGGAGAGUGGAAUUCCACGUGUAGCGGUGAAAUGCGUAGAGAUGUGGAGGAACACCAGUGGCGAAGGCGACUCUCUGGUCUGUAACUGACGCUGAGGAGCGAAAGCGUGGGGAGCGAACAGGAUUAGAUACCCUGGUAGUCCACGCCGUAAACGAUGAGUGCUAAGUGUUAGGGGGUUUCCGCCCCUUAGUGCUGCAGCUAACGCAUUAAGCACUCCGCCUGGGGAGUACGGUCGCAAGACUGAAACUCAAAGGAAUUGACGGGGGCCCGCACAAGCGGUGGAGCAUGUGGUUUAAUUCGAAGCAACGCGAAGAACCUUACCAGGUCUUGACAUCCUCUGACAAUCCUAGAGAUAGGACGUCCCCUUCGGGGGCAGAGUGACAGGUGGUGCAUGGUUGUCGUCAGCUCGUGUCGUGAGAUGUUGGGUUAAGUCCCGCAACGAGCGCAACCCUUGAUCUUAGUUGCCAGCAUUCAGUUGGGCACUCUAAGGUGACUGCCGGUGACAAACCGGAGGAAGGUGGGGAUGACGUCAAAUCAUCAUGCCCCUUAUGACCUGGGCUACACACGUGCUACAAUGGACAGAACAAAGGGCAGCGAAACCGCGAGGUUAAGCCAAUCCCACAAAUCUGUUCUCAGUUCGGAUCGCAGUCUGCAACUCGACUGCGUGAAGCUGGAAUCGCUAGUAAUCGCGGAUCAGCAUGCCGCGGUGAAUACGUUCCCGGGCCUUGUACACACCGCCCGUCACACCACGAGAGUUUGUAACACCCGAAGUCGGUGAGGUAACCUUUAUGGAGCCA